ACUUCCAAAGGAUAAUAGAAAUCCAGUGGUCUUAGGAACCACCCAUCUUGGUGCAAAUCCAAGUGGAAGUA
rnacentral:tRNA from 2 species